AAUCGCGCCUAGUAGGGGGCAUGGCUUAUCCCUGUUACUUGUCUCCAUAAAGACAGUUAUAAUAAUGUCUGCCGUCCACCAUGGCGAUAAAUAACCACUAUUUCUGCUCUUUAUCUGUUGUGAGAAUGGCACGAACAUUGGAACCGCAAACAGUGUUGUGUUUGGGUUCAUGACGUCAUCCGUCGCCGCACACAGCUGGAAUUUCACCGACUCCUCCGAGUGCGUCUGGAUGACUGCGGCUUCCAGCGCUGCUUCAGGCGGACCAGCAGCCUGUUGGACACAUCUGACUUAAAGGCGUUCAGUCUCAGCUUAACUUCUCUGAGUGCGGUGGGUUCAUGAUCAGAAUAGGUAAUCAGGUACGAGGUCUUCAUCAACACUAACUUUGUCAGAGUUACCAUAGUUCCUGAGUGGUGCCACACUCUCUGUCGUCUCCAUAGACAGUAGAGUUGGAGCAGUCUUGCAAUGUGGCGGCUCAGGAUUGAUGGAAAGGCAACAUCACGAUCACAACGUGAAGAAUAUGCAUCAUCAGAGCUCGAGUCAUCACCACUUGGUGAAGAGCCAGGAACGUAGUCUUCAUCACAGAUGGAUGCUUCAUCACCGAAGGGUUCAACAUCCGUCACCUAAAAGAUUUGAAGAAACAUCUGCAUCCUCACAGAGCAGGCGUCCUCAAAGAGCAGGUGUCCUCAUCUCCUCUACCUACCGAACACGAUGGAAAAUGAAUAUUCAGGUUUGACAAGUUACCUGCUGUCCUCAUAACGUUGCAAACCAGCAUCCGGAAGCUUCCCAUCAGGGAGCCAGGAAGUAGUCGGUGACGGUCCUCAUGCGUUUGUGCGUGAGGAGGUCAAGCCGAGCCAUGAAACCUGGAGAAACGUCCACAUAGAAUCACCUUGGACCUUCAUAUCAGCCCUGGACAUGGCUGGAGAUCAAAGUGACCUACGAUGAGUUUGACACACCUGCUUUAGAGCAGAAUGAGGAUGUACUUUAUUGUAAUCAUUUCUUUCAGCUACAAUAACCAUGUUAUUAAGAGAUGGAAAGUUAAAGCCGUUCCUCUUUCUGUCCACGCUGCACAACGCGUGUUUUAUUGCAUUUAGUGGCAAUGCUGCUGCUGUUUGUCUUUUAUUUUGGCGGGAAAUCACGUUUAACACUUUCAAUGCUCCACUUUGUGAGGAGAUAAACUCCACCCUGUUAUCAAAUGUGUGCUUGUGCUUUGUGUGUUUUUGUUGGUGACUUAAGUGUGAUAUUUG
ensembl:lncRNA